ensembl:lncRNA
CUGGAAGAGGCCUCAAGCUGAUACAACUGAAAGCUGGCACAGAAGAAUCUAUAUCCCUGUCUUCUCCUAAAAUAUGCUCAACAGGAGUUGAACCACUUUGGUUGUUGGUGUUGUGAAAGGAAGGAGAGAAAAUGUUGUAGUCUCCAGCCAUCAUCCCCCCCUGACUGCUGCAGUCACCUGGAGGUUGUUUGGUUCUGACCUUCCUUCUCCUUCAGUCAAUGUAAUUCUUACCUGUUUUAUGGCUCUACCACUUGUUAUGUCUUGUGCAUUUUUGAAUUUAAACUGUGUGUUCUCUGAGGCACAGAUUAUGAAUAGACUUGUACUGUAUGGCUGUUUAAAAAAAUUCUAAGAUGCAAGCAAAUGAGAGGAAAUUAAUUGUGGACUUUCUAGUUUAUAACAUUCCUGCUAAUUCCAAGCACUAAGCACAAAGAAUAAUUAAAAUCCUUAGAUUUAUACAGUGAGAUGCUUUAAAACAGACUAACUUGAAAACUGUAAGGAGAAAAGGUAGGCUGAAAAAUUAGAAGAAUGAAAAAAUGUAAGCUACCUAAAGACUCUUUUCAUGAGCAGCAGAGGAGGCAAUGAAAACCUCAUAUUACUGUAUGUUGAAUGAUUUCCUCAGUUCUGGUGAAGAGCUUUCAUUUUACAAGAGUUGUUUUUGCCAGUGCUGAGAGAUCCAAAGAAUUUAAAGGAUGAGAUGCAGAUCUUCAAUCUCUUCUGCAGUGAAAAAUCUUUAAUACACUUUACAGGGAGACCAAAGACUGCUAUUUAUUUCCUUUUGUCUUUUGGAAGUGAAAGUUUGGUUUGUCCCAGAUUCUUGAAAAAUCCAUGCAAAAAAGUCUCCAUAAGGUGUGAUUCACAGCUUUUACAGUGUAGACAAAUAAGGAACAGCUUGUGUUCUUGCUAAGCAGAUUAUCAGGAGAGGUUGCAGAGGUCCUUUCUAGAGAACAACUCACUCUUGUACUUUGUUGUAAUACUAGCAGGCCCUAUCAAAGUGGAGAUGAACACUACAUAUUUUUUCAUAACUGACAUCACCACUAAAUUUUAGGAAAGCUAACUUCCAGCUCUUCAGGGAGUUAGUCA